CCUGGUUGAUUCUGCCAGUAGUCAUAUGCUUGUCUCAAAGAUUAAGCCAUGCAUGUCUAAGUAUAAGCAAUUAUACAGCGAAACUGCGAAUGGCUCAUUAUAUAAGUUAUCGUUUAUUUGAUAGUACCUUACUACUUGGAUAACCGUGGUAAUUCUAGAGCUAAUACAUGCUAAAAAUCCCGACUUCGGAAGGGAUGUAUUUAUUAGAUUAAAAACCAAUGCCCCCUGGGCUCUCUGGUGAUUCAUAAUAACUUCUCGAAUCGCAUGGCCUUGUGCCGGCGAUGGUUCAUUCAAAUUUCUUCCCUAUCAACUUUCGAUGUUUGGGUAGUGGCCAAACAUGGUUGCAACGGGUAACGGAGGGUUAGGGCUCGACCCCGGAGAAGGAGCCUGAGAAACGGCUACUACAUCCAAGGAAGGCAGCAGGCGCGCAAAUUACCCAAUCCCGAUUCGGGGAGGUAGUGACAAUAAAUACCGAUACAGGGCUCUUUUGGGUCUUGUAAUUGGAAUGAGUACAAUUUAAAUCCCUUAACGAGGAACAAUUGGAGGGCAAGUCUGGUGCCAGCAGCCGCGGUAAUUCCAGCUCCAAUAGCGUAUAUUAAAGUUGUUGUGGUUAAAAAGCUCGUAGUUGAACCUUGGGCCUGGCUGGCCGGUCCGCCUCACCGCGUGUACUGGUCCGGCCGGGCCUUUCCCUCUGUGGAACCCCAUGCCCUUCACUGGGCGUGGCGGGGAAACAGGACUUUUACUUUGAAAAAAUUAGAGUGCUCCAGGCAGGCCUAUGCUCGAAUACAUUAGCAUGGAAUAAUGAAAUAGGACGCGCGGUUCUAUUUUGUUGGUUUCUAGGACCGCCGUAAUGAUUAAUAGGGACAGUCGGGGGCAUCAGUAUUCAAUUGUCAGAGGUGAAAUUCUUGGAUUUAUUGAAGACUAACUACUGCGAAAGCAUUUGCCAAGGAUGUUUUCAUUAAUCAGGAACGAAAGUUAGGGGAUCGAAGACGAUCAGAUACCGUCGUAGUCUUAACCAUAAACUAUGCCGACUAGGGAUCGGACGAUGUUAUUUUUUGACUCGUUCGGCACCUUACGAGAAAUCAAAGUGCUUGGGCUCCAGGGGGAGUAUGGUCGCAAGGCUGAAACUUAAAGAAAUUGACGGAAGGGCACCACCAGGGGUGGAGCCUGCGGCUUAAUUUGACUCAACACGGGGAAACUCACCAGGUCCAGACACAAUGAGGAUUGACAGAUUGAGAGCUCUUUCUUGAUUUUGUGGGUGGUGGUGCAUGGCCGUUCUUAGUUGGUGGAGUGAUUUGUCUGCUUAAUUGCGAUAACGAACGAGACCUUAACCUGCUAAAUAGCCCGUAUUGCUUUGGCAGUACGCCGGCUUCUUAGAGGGACUAUCGGCUCAAGCCGAUGGAAGUUUGAGGCAAUAACAGGUUGACCUACAC
rnacentral:rRNA from 1 species